rnacentral:tmRNA from 1 species
GGGGCUGAACUGGUAUCGACCUCGACCGUACCGGGAUAGGAGAAGCGAGCCGAGGACUCCCGGUGUGACCUCGUUAAUCCUCUGGGAAACUUAUACCUGCCGCUGCGUAAUGCACGGUUGCCAUCACCUAAAUGAUGGCCGUCGGCCCGAGAUGAGCCUGCGAUCUCGGGAUCCGGCGUCGUCUAGCAGGCUUACCGUCUGAAGUUUGUUCGAGGCGAAGGACGGGAAAUCUAGCUCGAACUAGGUUGGAAGCGUUGCCGUUCGCGGGCCGCUACCGACCGAAACCUAACCGCGGACUACGCUCGUAGAAGUCCUAUCGCGGGGUCGUGGGACCCGGGUUCGAUUCCCGGCAGCUCCACUG